GGGGUGACUGCGUACCUUUUGUAUAAUGGGUCAGCGACUUAUAUUCUGUAGCAAGGUUAACCGCAUAGGGGAGCCGAAGGGAAACCGAGUCUUAACCGGGCGUUAAGUUGCAGGGUAUAGACCCGAAACCCGGUGAUCUAGCCAUGGGCAGGUUGAAGGUUGGGUAACACUAACUGGAGGACCGAACCGACUAAUGUUGAAAAAUUAGCGGAUGACCUGUGGCUGGGGGUGAAAGGCCAAUCAAACCGGGAGAUAGCUGGUUCUCCCCGAAAGCUAUUUAGGUAGCGCCUCGUGAACUCAUCUCCGGGGGUAGAGCACUGUUUCGGCUAGGGGGCCAUCCCGGCUUACCAACCCGAUGCAAACUGCGAAUACCGGAGAAUGUUAUCACGGGAGACACACGGCGGGUGCUAACGUCCGUCGUGAAGAGGGAAACAACCCAGACCGCCAGCUAAGGUCCCAAAGUCAUGGUUAAGUGGGAAACGAUGUGGGAAGGCCCAGACAGCCAGGAUGUUGGCUUAGAAGCAGCCAUCAUUUAAAGAAAGCGUAAUAGCUCACUGGUCGAGUCGGCCUGCGCGGAAGAUGUAACGGGGCUAAACCAUGCACCGAAGCUGCGGCAGCGACACUUUAGUGUUGUUGGGUAGGGGAGCGUUCUGUAAGCCGUUGAAGGUGUCCUGUGAGGGGUGCUGGAGGUAUCAGAAGUGCGAAUGCUGACAUAAGUAACGAUAAAGCGGGUGAAAAGCCCGCUCGCCGGAAGACCAAGGGUUCCUGUCCAACGUUAAUCGGGGCAGGGUGAGUCGACCCCUAAGGCGAGGCCGAAAGGCGUAGUCGAUGGGAAACGGGUUAAUAUUCCCGUACUUGGUGUUACUGCGAAGGGGGGACGGAGAAGGCUAUGUUGGCCGGGCGACGGUAGUCCCGGUUUAAGCGUGUAGGCUGGUUUUCCAGGCAAAUCCGGAAAAUCAAGGCUGAGGCGUGAUGACGAGGCACCACGGUGCUGAAGCAACAAAUGCCCUGCUUCCAGGAAAAGCCUCUAAGCAUCAGGUAACAUCAAAUCGUACCCCAAACCGACACAGGUGGUCAGGUAGAGAAUACCAAGGCGCUUGAGAGAACUCGGGUGAAGGAACUAGGCAAAAUGGUGCCGUAACUUCGGGAGAAGGCACGCUGACACGUAGGUGAAGUGAUUUACUCAUGGAGCUGAAGUCAGUCGAAGAUACCAGCUGGCUGCAACUGUUUAUUAAAAACACAGCACUGUGCAAACACGAAAGUGGACGUAUACGGUGUGACGCCUGCCCGGUGCCGGAAGGUUAAUUGAUGGGGUCAGCGCAAGCGAAGCUCCUGAUCGAAGCCCCGGUAAACGGCGGCCGUAACUAUAACGGUCCUAAGGUAGCGAAAUUCCUUGUCGGGUAAGUUCCGACCUGCACGAAUGGCGUAAUGAUGGCCAGGCUGUCUCCACCCGAGACUCAGUGAAAUUGAACUCGCUGUGAAGAUGCAGUGUACCCGCGGCAAGACGGAAAGACCCCGUGAACCUUUACUAUAGCUUGACACUGAACAUUGAGCCUUGAUGUGUAGGAUAGGUGGGAGGCUUUGAAGCGUGGACGCCAGUCUGCGUGGAGCCGACCUUGAAAUACCACCCUUUAAUGUUUGAUGUUCUAACGUGGACCCGUAAUCCGGGUUGCGGACAGUGUCUGGUGGGUAGUUUGACUGGGGCGGUCUCCUCCUAAAGAGUAACGGAGGAGCACGAAGGUUGGCUAAUCCUGGUCGGACAUCAGGAGGUUAGUGCAAUGGCAUAAGCCAGCUUGACUGCGAGCGUGACGGCGCGAGCAGGUGCGAAAGCAGGUCAUAGUGAUCCGGUGGUUCUGAAUGGAAGGGCCAUCGCUCAACGGAUAAAAGGUACUCCGGGGAUAACAGGCUGAUACCGCCCAAGAGUUCAUAUCGACGGCGGUGUUUGGCACCUCGAUGUCGGCUCAUCACAUCCUGGGGCUGAAGUAGGUCCCAAGGGUAUGGCUGUUCGCCAUUUAAAGUGGUACGCGAGCUGGGUUUAGAACGUCGUGAGACAGUUCGGUCCCUAUCUGCCGUGGGCGCUGGAAGACUGAGGGGGGCUGCUCCUAGUACGAGAGGACCGGAGUGGACGCAUCACUGGUGUUCGGGUUGUCAUGCCAAUGGCACUGCCCGGUAGCUAAAUGCGGAAAAGAUAAGUGCUGAAAGCAUCUAAGCACGAAACUUGCCCCGAGAUGAGUCUUCCCUGAGACCUUGAGUCUCCUGAAGGAACGUUAAAGACGAUGACGUUGAUAGGCCGGGUGUGUAAGCGCAGCGAUGCGUUGAGCUAACCGGUACUAAUGAACCGUGAGGCUUAACCUUACAACGCCGAAGCUGUU
rnacentral:rRNA from 1 species